GACGAACGCUGGCGGCGUGCCUAAUACAUGCAAGUCGAGCGGACUUGAUGGAGUGCUUGCACUCCUGAUGGUUAGCGGCGGACGGGUGAGUAACACGUAGGCAACCUGCCCUCAAGACUGGGAUAACUACCGGAAACGGUAGCUAAUACCGGAUAAUUUAUUUUGCAGCAUUGUGAAAUAAUGAAAGGCGGAGCAAUCUGUCACUUGAGGAUGGGCCUGCGGUGCAUUAGCUAGUUGGUGGGGUAACGGCCCACCAAGGCGACGAUGCGUAGCCGACCUGAGAGGGUGCACGGCCACACUGGGACUGAGACACGGCCCAGACUCCUACGGGAGGCAGCGGUAGGGAAUCUUCCGCAAUGGGCGAAAGCCUGACGGAGCAACGCCGCGUGAGUGAUGAAGGUUUUCGGAUCGUAAAGCUCUGUUGCCAAGGAAGAACGUCUUCUAGAGUAACUGCUAGGAGAGUGACGGUACUUGAG
rnacentral:rRNA from 1 species